CGUCUGAAUUUACCGUCCGGACCCAUCAGACGCAAAUUAGCGUCCGUCUUGAUAAAAUUAGCGUCCAUUUUUGGACGGACGCUAAUUAGCGUCCGUUUUUGAAAAAUUAGCGUCCGUCUUUGGAGCGAACGCUAAUUAGCAUCCGUGAAACAAGUUUACCGUCUAACAUGACGGACGGUAAUCAAUGGUCAUUAAAAAAAACACGACCCACCUUAUUUCCAACCCUAUCUCUAUCUGUCCUUAUUCUCUCACCUCUUUCUUCGUCUUCUUUCUCGCUCUUCUUUUCUUCUUCCUUUCUAUUUUUUUCUCUGAUUUGAAGGAGGUUCGAUCACCGUCGACGAAAUUCAAUGGUCCGCUACCACACUUUCUCUGAUUUGUAGGAGGUUCGAUCGAUUUCUGAGCCAAUCACCGUCGCAGGUUUUCGUUUUAGGGUUAGUGAUUUUUUUGGGUUUUUUAUGUGGGUUGUUUCAGAUCUAGUUUUUUUUUGUUAAUUUCUCAAUUCUUCCUUCAAAACCCCAUAUUUAUCCUCUCUUUUUUUCGAUUUUUAUUUUCGAAUCCUUUUUUCGUAUGUUUUUUUCGUUUUCUCAAUUUUUAUUUAUCCUCUCUUUUUCGAUUUUUGUUUCAGAUCUGGUUUUUUCUUGAUUUUUUCGUCGGGUUUUUGUGCUAUGAUUUUAUGUUGAACUUUUAAUCUGGUGGACUAUCUGGUGUUUUGAUAUGUUAUUUAGCAGUUAUUAAAUUUUGUUAUGCCAUUACUUUGUAAUUAUUUAUGAAGACAGAAUUUGUUUCACUUUGGACCCUUGCUGAUUGGUUUUUCGUAACAUGUAGUAUGCAUAAAUAUUGCAAAUAGAUUUGCUGGUCCUCUAAGUAACUUCUGUAAAACAUUUGAUGGGUCUGUUGUAUUUUAGAAUUAGUUCAACUUUUGGUAGUGAUUUUGCAGAUUCUUUUAUUGCGAUUAUUUUUUUUUGAAUUUGUUGUUGUCCUGCAGUUUUUGAGUAUAAUUUAUAAUCCUGUGGAACUUUCAAUGUAGCUCCUGGAAUUAGCGCUUCUCCCUCGGAAGAGAAUAUGCGGUACUUUAAUGUUAUGAUUUUGGGUCCUUCUCAAUCUCCUUAUGAAUUUGUUUUGGCAAGUUUGUUGAGAUCCAGUUUGACAUAGACGGUAGAAUUUCUGGUGCUGCAAUCAGGACCUACCUUCUAGAGAGGUCUCAUGUUGUUCAGAUUACCAAUCCUGAAAGGAAUUAUCAUUGCUUUUACCAACUUUGCGCAUCUAAGGAGAUACUGCUGGAGCAAGGAGCCAUUAGCAGCAUCUCUGAGUGCAUGCAGGAUUACCAAGUUACAGGAAUGAUUAAUUAUAGUAUUGAGGAGUGAGUGGUGGAUAAGUGUGAACUGGGGGUGACUUGUACAUUGGGGUUGGUGGUAGAGGUGAAUACUCAUCCUACUCAAGGAUUUCAUGGAGGACCCAUAUGUGGCAGCUGACGGGUACACAUACGACCGGAAGGCGAUAGAGGAAGUGGCUCAUGGAAAGCGACAUGUUGCCAAUUAUCUUAUGAGACAGGGUUAUGAGAUUUACGUUUGAGUUCCAGAUUUGAAGUUAGUUUUGAUCCAAUACCAGAUUUGAAGUCCAUUUUGGUUCUAGAUUUUUGUUGUGGAGUUUAAAGUGUACAUGUAAUUAUAUGAGAUUUGUAUUAGAUUUUGUUCCAAGUAUACUAGAAUUUAGUUCUAGAAUUAUUUUUUCACUUGUAUCUACAUUUAUUAUUAAUAAUAAUUGAAUUGAUUAAUUUGUUUGCCUUAAUAAAAGAAGUAUGGUAUUUGCAUCAUUUCAUAUCUUAUUACAUUUAAUAUCAAUUAAUUAAAAGCGAAAAGCUAUUACAUUUAAUAUUAGUUAACCAAAAGCGAA